AAAAUUUGAACAAAAGAGUCUAAAUAUUAUCACAAGUCCAAUAACAAUAUUAAGUGGUUCAAAUACAUUACAUAGUUCCCACGAGUUCAAAUAUAUUACAUUUACCGGUUCAAAUAUAUGUCGUUCACAAAUAACACGGAAGAUACAAUACAUGCUCCGGCGAAGAUCAUUCCCAUGAGUGUGCAUUUCACCGAUGGAAUGACUAGCCGACACAGAGCCACAGAGGACGAUUAGCCAGUGGCAGGGCGCGAGUGGGGCAGGGCGGUUUAUCAUCAAAUCGAGCGAUUAAUCGGUGAAGAUGAACGACUUACCGAUUCAACGAACGAGAAGGCGCCUUGUGCGGCUUUACGGUGCAGUCGGCCGGCUAGUCGCG
rnacentral:lncRNA from 1 species